rnacentral:rRNA from 1 species
AUUGAACGCUGGCGGCAUGCCUUACACAUGCAAGUCGAACGGCAGCGGACCUUCGGGUGCCGGCGAGUGGCGAACGGGUGAGUAAUAUAUCGGAACGUACCUUUCAGUGGGGGAUAACGUAGCGAAAGUUACGCUAAUACCGCAUAUUCUGUGAGCAGGAAAGCAGGGGAUCGCAAGACCUUGCGCUGAUUGAGCGGCCGAUAUCAGAUUAGCUAGUUGGUGAGGUAAAGUCUCACCAAGGCGACGAUCUGUAGCGGGUCUGAGAGGAUGAUCCGCCACACUGGAACUGAGACACGGUCCAGACUCCUACGGGAGGCAGCAGUGGGGAAUUUUGGACAAUGGGCGGCAAGCCUGAUCCAGCCAUGCCGCGUGAGUGAAGAAGG